UUUGUUACUUCAAACCAAUCGGACUUCGGUCUGACAUCAAGUGAUAUUGAGCAAUUUAGCUGAUCGCACGGUCUAAGAACCGGCGACAUAUCCUUCAAAUGUCUGCCUUAUCAACUUUCGAUGGUAGAUUAUGCGCCUACCAUGGUUGUAACGGGUAACGGAGAAUCAGGGUUUGAUUCCGGAGAGGGAGCCUGAGAAACGGCUACCACAUCCAAGGAAGGCAGCAGGCACGCAAAUUACCCACUCCCGGCACGGGGAGGUAGUGACGAAAAAUAACAAGCUGGUCUCAAUGAGUUCCAGCAUUGUAAUGGGAACAAUUUAAAUCUUUUAUCGAGGACCUAUUGGAGGGCAAGUCUGGUGCCAGCAGCCGCGGUAAUUCCAGCUCCAAUAGCGUAUAUUAAAGUUGUUGCGGUUAAAAAGCUCGUAGUUGGAUCUAGGAUUAGGGCUACGGUCGUUCAGCUUGGACGUACUGUAUGCCCGACUCCUUUUCUCUAGUAUUCGAUUGUUGCUCUUAAAUGAGUGACUUUAGUUGCUGGAACUUUUACCUUGAAAAAAUUGAAGUGCUCAAAGCAGGUU
rnacentral:rRNA from 1 species